GAGUUUGAUCGUGGCUCAGGGUUAACGCUGGCGGUGCGCAUAACACAUGCAAGUCGAGCGAGGGCUUAUUUCUCGCAAGAGAGAUGAGUUCCUAGCGGCGAACGGGUGAGUAACACGUGGGCAACCUUUCCUAUCGCGGGGGAUAACACCGGGAAACCGAUGCUAAUACCGCAUGUCGUCACUGGUCGCAUGGCCGGUGAAGAAAGCAGCAAUGCACGAUGGGGUGGGCCCGCGGCCUAUCAGCUAGUCGGUGGGUAACGGCCUACCGAGGCGAUGACGGGUAGCUGGUCUGAGAGGACGGCCAGCCACACGGGGACUGAGACACGGCCCCGACUCCUACGGGAGGCAGCAGUGAGGAAUCUUCCGCAAUGGGCGAAAGCCUGACGGAGCGACACCGCGUGUGGGAUGAAGUCUUUCGGGA
rnacentral:rRNA from 1 species